rnacentral:tRNA from 1 species
ACUAGGUUGGCAGAGCCAUGCAUUCGAUUUAGGUUCGAAAGACAGAAGUAUUCUUCUACCUGGUA